UACGUAGGGUGCAAGCGUUAAUCGGAAUUACUGGGCGUAAAGCGUGCGCAGGCGGUGAUGCAAGACAGAGGUGAAAUCCCCGGGCUCAACCUGGGAACUGCCUUUGUGACUGCAUGACUAGAGUACGGUAGAGGGGGAUGGAAUUCCGCGUGUAGCAGUGAAAUGCGUAGAUAUCGGGAGGAACACCAGUGGCGAAGGCGGCUUCCUGGCCUGUUCUUGACGCUGAGGCGCGAAAGCUAGGGGAGCAAACGGG
rnacentral:rRNA from 1 species